CCACCUCUGCUCUUGGCGAGCUACCAUGAGCUGGGUUUGCACAAAGGCUGUUCUGUUUCCAGAAAGUCCCUGGGGAGCUGAGGAGUGAGGAAGCGGAGAACUUGGAAACUCAGCCAGUGUCCUUUUCAGCAAGUGGAAGGGAGGCUUAGCAAAGUCUCAGCACCAGCUAUACUCUGAAGGCAGGGAAACCGUUUGCUUCUCUUUUUCCAACACUCAGCUUCGGUGUCUAAGCCACGGUCCAGUCCUUUGGAAGGAGCUGGGUAAUACGUUGUUAACUGGAAAACAAGCAAUCUUCACUUCCUGUCUCUUCAAGUCAGCAGUCCAGGGAUCAGGACCACAAACCUGUCUCUGGGACAGGCCCGAAGAGAUGGUGGCCUUUAGGUGGGCAGAGAAGAGAGCUGUCAGCGUCCAAGAAAGCCAAGGUCUGGGCAGCCUCCCAGAUGCCUAGGAGCUUUUCCUCUUGCAAUCCGUGCCCCAUGGGACACGUUCCUCCUCCUCAGGGUGGAUCAGACCGACUGACUCACCUCUAACACACUUUGGCCAGACCGAUGGCAUCAUGAAAGCCUACGAAGACACUCCAGGUCCAUCGCAGAGCUCCCUCCCCACGCGGCCUCUUAAAUCAUGUGUUCUCGGGGAAUUUAUCUACCCUGCCGUGAACAGCACCAUCAAAGGGUCACCUGGAAUGUAAACUAGUACAACCAUCGUGGGUGUUGGUAUGGGGAGGACUCGAAAAACUAAAAGCAGGUAUCUUCCCAAAAGAGUUAAAGUCACACAUUAUAGUAAUACAGGCAACCCAUGUAUAUAGCAGCAGAACCCAUAAUAGAUGAAUCUUGACAGUGGCCUAUGUGUCCAUCAGCAGACGAGUAGAUAAAGAAUAUGUGGUACUUAUACACAAUGGAGUUCUGCUCUGCCAUAAAGAAAGAUACACUUGAGUCAUUUAUACAAAAAUGGAUGGAUCUUCAGACCAUAAUGCUAGGUCUAAUAAAUCAGACACAGAGGGUUAAAUAUCACAUGGUUUCCCUUACAUGACACUCAGAGUAUAAAUAAUUUAAAGAGAAAAAUAAAGAGAGAUGGUGGGAAAUAAGGCAGUAGACUGCGUGGAGAUGGGAAGAGGGUCUUGAGUAAGAGAAAAGGGGAGGCAGGGAGGGAGGGAUUGAAAUGAUCAAGACGCGACGUGUACAUGUACCAACUCCCCAG
rnacentral:lncRNA from 1 species